UACCGAGGUCCCAAGCGUUGUUCGGAUUCACUGGGCGUAAAGGGCGCGUAGGUGGUGAGGUAAGUCGGAUGUGAAAUCUCCGAGCUCAACUCGGAAAUUGCAUUGGAAACUACCUUGCUAGAGGGUUGGAGGGGGGACUGGAAUACUUGGUGUAGCAGUGAAAUGCGUAGAGAUCAUGAGGAAGACCAGUGGCGAAGGCGGGUCUCUGGACAGUUCCUGACACUGAGGCACGAAGGCCAGGGGAGCAAACGGG
rnacentral:rRNA from 1 species